rnacentral:lncRNA from 1 species
CAGCUUCAAGAUCAGCCAACCCAUGGAUCAAACUGCAGCAUGGUUGGGUUGGCACGUUGCCGAGGUCGAGAUUCACCAAACCACCCAACAGAUUAACACACACACCAAGGUUCAAUGGAUUACAAGUACCAUAAUAGCUUUGAGCGCUACCAUCGUUGGGAAACUUGUAUCCGGGACGGAUAACAACAGGGUUCCGAGAUUUUGUGGGGUAAGAAGAACCAUUAGGAUUAUUAUCAACAUUGUAAGAGCUUACUAAAGCAAAAAAGAAAAGGUUAAGAGAGAAGAAAAGCGCAGUUGAUGGCUUAACCUUUGAAGCCAUUUUUCCAAUAGAGAAUAAUUUGAUUUCACUGACAAAAUGGACUGCGGCUUACGAUGAAGGUGAUGAAGUGAUCAAAGGGUUUUUAUAGAACACAAGGAUGAGGUUUAAAACUAGAAAAUGAAAGCCACUAAGUCAUAUCAUUUGGAUACUUUGGAUAUGUUUUCGUUGGCUUUGAUUAACAAAUCUCCCAGAUCUAUGAAUGAGUUGUUAUUAUAAUUAUAUAUCGUAAUCCCAACCAUGGACCAAGCCGAACUUUUAAAUUUUAAUUAUCAACCAUAAUUUAUAUAUUUACAAGAGUAAAACGCUGCUAUGGUUACUUGUCAAGUUAUUCAUCCAACCUCAAAGGUGUACUUAAAAUUUUGAGAGGAUUUAAAUAAAAGUAUUGAGCUCGAAAUUAAAAUUAGACAAAAAAUAAGUUCAUUUAAAAUAUGGAUCGAGUUUGGACAAAAGCCACACAUACGGUCACGCGACAUGUGGUGAAAUCUAAAAAUUGCUUAUUAACGGACUCAGACGAUGAAGGUGGUGAAAUGAUGAAAGGAUUUUUAUAGAACACAAAGAUGAGCUUUUAAAGAUAGAAAAUGGAAGUCAUUAAGUCAUAUUAUUUGGAGAAUUUGGAUACUUUAAGAUAUUGUUUCGUUGGCUCUAAUUAUGGAAUCUCCCACGUCUACAAAUGAGUUGAUAUUAUUAUCAUUUUUUUUCUAAUUGCGAAUAUGGUUUAAAUUUUAAUUAUUAAUCAUAAUUUAUAUUUAUUUAAGUUAAUGAGUUGGUUUAUUCAUUAUCUUGAAAUGAUGUUAUCAAUUGAGUGCAAGAUUUUUAUUAUUCAGAUCACGUGGCUAAGUUGUGAGAUAGAUUUCAGGUCGUGUGGUUCAGAGACAUGGUCGUGUGGCCAAACUAUGUACAGUUCGAAUAUAGGGUCACACAGUCAUGUCGUUAGGCCGUUUGCAAUUCGAAAUUGGGUCACACGUCCGUGUAACAACCUGUGGCCACAUGGGAAAAACUUGCACAAAAUUUAAAUAAGACCGUGUGUGGUACGUGGCAUGUGAUAGCCCGUGUUCCAUGUCGUGUGCACCUAAAAUGACUUCCAAAACAAGACAAAUCAUUACUCAUUUCUUAGGUACCAAGCCAAACCAAUUUCAACCAAUUUCACACCUUCAAAACACAUUCAAACAUGCUUAAAACAUACCAAAACAUUCAACCUAAGUGUCUAACCAAUAUGCCCUCAUUAGCAUCACAUUUCAUACACCAAACCAAAUUCACAUUCAAAGUCACAAGCCUUUAUCUUAUACACAUGCCAAACAUUUCAAUUCGUCCAUUCUAUUCACAUACAAAUUUACCAUAUCUCAACCAUUUUCAAGAAGUAUAAACCAAAUAACUAAAGGCAGAUAUAUAUAAACAUAUACAACCCAAAACUAAAAUAUAUAUACACAUCCACAAUAUGCUUUAACCAAAAUUUAAAUAACAUCAUAGUAAAAGAAUUUAAAAGCUUCUAGUAUAUGUCAUUUAUAACCCAACAUCAAAAUGACCAAAACUUCUACCGAGAUAAAGAACAGAUUGUGUGUGUGCUUUGACUUGAACUUCCAAUCAAUCAACAUUUUUGAUGAUCUACAAGGAAAGAAAACAAUUAAAGUAAGCAACUAGUGCUUAGUAAGUACCUAUAAUGUAAACUUUAACUUACCAAACAUGUUUAUAUUCAAACCAUUCGUGCAUAAAUUCAUUCAUUAGCUCAUGAGCAUAUAUUUCUUUCUUAUAUAACACAAACCUCAUAAGGUUAAUUAAUAAGUGUGACAAUGAAACAUAUAAUUCCAACAUAUCAUGGAACAUGUAAUAAUAAACAUAUCAAGUACACAUUUCAUCCAUCACAUAUCCCAUAAGCAUAACUUUUCCAUUUCAAGUGUUCAUAACAACAUUUUCCAAUUCACAUGUCAAGAUCAUAUAACAUUUCAUAUAUAUAUACACAUUCGUUUAAACAUUUAUCACCUGUUGAACCAAAUGAAAUAACAUCGAAUGCUUGGGAAAAUGCUCACACAAGCUGUGACUGUAAUUGUAUAUGCUCACAUGAACUAUGAAAUGGGCCUGCUCACACGAGUUGUGGGUCAAGAUGUUAGGCUACACGAUGCUACUCAUACGAGCUGUGGAGAAUCCGCACAAAUGCAGGAUCUCAACCAUUUGUAGGACAUCCAUGAUCAGCACCCAAAACUGUAAAUAACCACUAAUGACAUGUCAUUGGCAUUCUAAGUAUUCACGAGAUUCAUACAAGUCACUUUACAUAUCCGAAUCAUUUAACUUCAUUUCUAUUAUACCAUUUCAAACAUACAACCGUGUAUUUCACAUUUUCCAAGCAUAAUCAUCAAUUUAAUCAACAUCAUAAUUUUGUCCAAAAUCACUAAUCGACAUAUAUCAUUCAAUUUAACCAUAUGUAACAUGAAUAAUCAAUAAAAUGUUACCAGAGCAUCAUUUAAUGAGUUUAAACAAUAUACAAACUUACCUAAACAAAGAUGGUUAUGAAUACGAGGCUGACGACUAAUCCGUUAAUUUAGCUUUUCUACAAUUUGAGUCUAGUUGAUUCGUUUCUUGAUUUAAAUAAUAUUUUUCACUCAAUUAAUUAUAGGUAUAUAAGGUUUUUUUUAUUUAUUUAAAAUGUAAGUUACCAAUUUACAAAAGAAGUAUCAACAUUUUGUUUAGAAUGUUAUUUUCGUCCAAUUUUUUUUUUUGAAACAUCUUGUUUUAGCCUUAUAUUGAUGUAGCGGUGGUGUACAAAUUUUAGUUUAUAUAUGGUGAAAAAAUAAAGAAAAUACUAUAAUUUAUAAUUUCUGUGACUAAACUUGUUGAGUGUUUUUUUGAGUGUGUCACUUUCAAGAGGGUUAAAAUCACUAUUUAUAUAAUAUGGUUACUGUUCACGGAUAUGGCAUCGUAGAUACCUCAUGCAUCCUAGCACAUACCCUACUUUGGGACUAACACAUGUUUUCAAGAUGUGGGUUGCAUGGUUUUGCGAAUCACAUCGUUCGAACUCAUAAAAGAAUGCAAAUACUUCACAUGCGAACUUAAGAUGUGGGUCAAGAUCAAAUCAGGUACUCAGGUGUUGGGUCGGUAAUGGCGAAUUCCAUAAUAAAACUUAUAGCAUUGUCAUUCAUAAAUAUCUUGUUCUAUUAAUUAGAAAUGGAUUGCUAUAAAAAAAUAUUAAAACAAUAAGUAAAGAAAUUAUUACAAGAGAUGAAAGGGAAAGGUUGAAGAGCCUUUCCUUUAUGCAAAAACUAAUAAGAAAUGAAUCAGCGAGACAACCCAACAACCACUCAGUACAUCGAAGAAUAAUAAAAGAGAAUCGCUGUGAAUGACGAUAUUUAAGGAGCGCAAAUAUAUUCGGUAGCGACUCUUCUUCCACAAUUAUUGAGUAAGAGACUCAAUGAAAUAGGAAGGUUGAGUUUGAUGUCUAACACAUUAGCUCUAAUGGCAGUGCAAAGACAAACCGCAGCUUCAAGAUCAGCUAACCCAUGGAUCAAACUACAGCAUGGUUGGGUUGGUACGUUGCCGAGGUUGAGAUUCGCCAAACCACCCAACAGAUUAAGACAUACACCAAGAUUCAAUGGAUUACAAGUACCAUAGUAGUUAUGAGUGCUACCAUCGUUAGGAAACUUGUAUCCAGGACGGAUUACAACAGGGUUCCGAGAUUUUGUCGGAUAAAAAGAACCGUUUGAAUUAUUAUCGACGUUAUAAGAGCUAACUAAAGCAAAAAAAAAGAAAAGGUUAAGAGAGAAAAAUAGAGCAGUUGAUGCCUUAACGUCUGAAGCCAUUUUUUCAGUAGAAAAUUAUUUGAUUUCACUGAGAAAAUGGACUGUUUUGAUGAGAGAAAUCUAAAAAUUGCUUAUUGGCUGCCUCAGACGAUGAAGGUGGUGAAAUGAUCAAAGAUGAGCUUUUAAAGCUAGAAAAUGGAAGUCACUAAGUCACAUGUUUUGGAGAAUUUGGAUACUUUAAGGUAUGGUUUCGUUGGCUCUAUUUAUGGAAUCUCCCACGUCUAAUUAUAAUUGUUUCUUUUUUCUAAUUGCAAAUAUGGAAUAAGCCAAAGUUUUAAAUUUUAAUUACGAAUCAUAAUUUAUAUUUAUUUACGUUGAUGAGUUGGUCAGUGUGAGAUUGUAAUCAUUCAGUUAAAUUAUUAAAUUAUUAUUAAGUUUAUAAAAAAGUUAUAAAAUGAUCAUUAAAUUAUCGGAAAGUUUUUAUUUAUGUCAUUAGAUUGUUAAAAUUGUCAUUGUAUGAUAAUCUAUAUUCACACUGCCUGCACCAAUUGAAAACUUUUUUUCUCCUUCUCUUGUACAAUUCAAUUUUUUUUCAUGAAACAACUUUGAACGUUAAAAAUUGGAGAACCAAAAUCCAAACAGUUUUUUCCGUUGAUCUCCAACACUAACUGUCUGAUCAAUUUAGAUUUAAGGUAUGUUAUUCUACUCGUUGAUGGGUACUGAUCCACCAUACUAAUUGUUAAAUCGUUGGUUGAAGCUCACUUGCUGGAUUUUUUUAAGAAAAAAACCUUAAUAACUUAGUGACUUAAAUAAAAAUUUUAAUUAUGUAUAAUAAUAUACUUAUUUACGAACCAAAAUCCAAGCAACUGAUGAAUUGAUCUCUAGUACUGACAAAUUGAUGAUUAUCAAUUAGAUUUAAAUAUUUAUUUUAUACUAUAUAUUUAUUUCUAUUGUGUAAAUAAAUUAAAAUUAAUAAUUUCUAAGCAAAUUUUUAUAUAUAAAUAUAUAUAAAAAACUAUUACAAAUGUAUUACUUAAUAAAUUAUAUAAAUAAUAUAUAUGUCAAAAUUCAAACAUGUAACAAUACAAACUCAUAAAUUUAACAAACAAAGCAAAAUACUAAAACCUUAACAAGGUUUUGUAUGUUUUUUUUACAAAAGAAGUUUUAACGGAGAUAAAAGAAAAGUUGCAAAUGUUAAAAGAUUCAAACUUUACACAUAAUAAACAUCACUUUUUAAAGAUGAUUUUAUGAAAACAUUGAUAUAAGUUCCAAAUUCCAACCAAGCUUAAGUAAUGAAUUUGUGUUUUAUUAUGGAACAAUGAAAUGAAAAUCCCAUAAAAAAUAAAGCAUUGCUAUUGUUGGGGAUCGACUUGUAUAAAUAACAAGAUAACAAAAGUGAAGAAGAACAAAUGCAAAUAUUUUACGUGAAAAACCCUCAAAGAGGAAAAAAUAGGAAACUAAUUAAAUUAAAGUUCUUUCUUUGGCCCAAUUAUCGAUUAGUAGAUUUAGAUUGUAUGAAUCAAUAUUGGUUUAAUACUAAUACCGGCAGUCGUUUCAAUAUGAUAAGGAUCCGUAUGCAUCCGCGUCUAAAAAUUUGUUAAUGGUACAUUUUCCCUAUAUUAUGUAUGUAUCGUGCCGGGCAUAUGAAAACAAAUAGAUGGUCACAAGGAUUGUCUUACAUUUUAUUCUGAUACACGAUACUAAUUUAAUGACAUACAUAUCAAUUAGAUCGACAAAUGAAUCAACAAAAUCCUAUUUGAACUCUCAAAUUUUCUCUUUUGUAGAAAUCUCUCACUCUUUUGUAUCCCUAUACGAAUCAAAUCAAAAUCCAGGUUGAUUAAUUUUAUUUGAAAAAAAAUGAUAAAGUUCAUAAUGAACUUAAAAUCACCGUGUAUAUAAAAAUGACCGGUAUUAUUAUUACUUAUUAGUAAAAUUCACAUUCAAAAAAAGCAGGGAAAUUUUUUGGUUUUAUGGUACAAAAUUCAUUCAUCCCAGUUAUUUUUCAAGAAAAAAAGAGAAGAAAACAGGGGAUCUAUUGAAUUUCAAAUAGUUAGUUUCACCAAUAAGAUACGAAGACUUACUUCACAUUUGGAAUUGCACAAAAAAGACUAUUUAUCUCAGAGAAGUCUACGUAAAAUUCUAGGAAAACGUCAACGACUGCUAUCUUAUUUAUCAAAGACAAAUAAAAUAUGUUCUAAAGAAUUAAUUGGUGGGUUGGAUAUUCAAGAAUAAAGAAAUGGUUAAUUUGCAAAUUUUGAAUUAGUCGAUUUAUUAGAUUUUCAUUUUGAUGUACUUAGUUUUCUUUUUCAACAAUUCAUGUAAGAAUGAAUCGAGGAAAAACUUAUGAAUCUAUCAGCUACAGAAAAAAGACCUUAUAAUAGUCAAUAUGGGGCCUCACCACCCAUCAAUGCAUGGUGUUCUUAGUCUCAUUGUUACUCUAGAUGGUGAAGAUGUUGUUGACUGUGAAUCACAAUUAGGUUAUUACACAGAGGAAUGGAAAAAAUUGUGGAAAACCAAACAAUUAUACAAUAUUUAUUAGAUUUUAAUAUAUCAAAUAUAUCAAAUUUAACUCAUUUUCGUAACAUAUAGGGAUUAGGCAACCAUACAAAUUUUAUCAAUUGUUAUUUGGGCACAUUAGACAGGAUUGAAGAAUGCCCAUAGAAAAAUAUGGAAAUUUGUCAUAAGGAAGCUUUAAGGAGAAUGGGGAAUUUCGGACUUAUAGAAAAUAUUGUGGAUGCUCCUAACCGUUGUGGGGGCGUGCACCAAAAUAAUGAAAUUAUUAAACAAUAUGAAAACACAGUUUUAACUGUAAACAUAUAAGGUAGAGCUGUAAUAUGGAAAUUUUUAGAAUGAAUAUAGAACAUUUUAAGCAUCGGAUUCGAGAGAUUAUUAAAAUUAGUAAAUAGUGGUAUCAAAUUAAUUAUUCCAAAAUAAUUAUUAACCUAAUCAAUUCACAAAUUAGUAGUAUCAAAGAACAUUGUAUUUCAUGCAAACUAAUAAAUAUUAGUUCAAUCAAUUUACUAAUUGUUAAUUAAGCUAAUACACUAUUUUAAUUGAGUUGCUUAUUUCUACUAAUUAGGAUUAUUCUCUUGGUCUCCUCCUACGUAAGAGUUAUCACAUAAGUUGUCCUCGUCACAUUUUAUGUCAAAUCAUUAUAGGAUAAAUUUUUCUUUUGAUUUCAUUUGUUUAAAUAUUCUUCUAGAUUCGUCAAUUCUAGUAUUUUAAAAAUUUUCAGUUAUCCUAAACCUACCAAUUGAGUGUUUGCUUAAAUUAUAAGCAUAAUGUUCUUUUUUAACAUACAUAGCCACACGCAUGGUUAUUUGUUAGUGAAUUAAAUUAUUAAAUUUUUUAAAAAUAAAUAGUUUCAUAAGUUUUUAUAUUUUUUGAAAAUUAGGAAUUUAGUCAAUGUAUUUAUAUUUUAUGAAAUUUAUUUUCUCUACUUUUAAGAUUUUAAAUUUAAAGUCCAAUUGUUAACACCGUUUUUUUUUGUUAAAAUUGUUGUUAUAAUAUAUUACAAAUAAAAAAAAUACAUACUUGGCAGCUAUGUAAUUAAAUGAAUGACUUUGUAAUUAACUUGAAUUUAAUAAAAAAUAAUAAUAGUAUUAACAAUUAAAUAUGAAUUUUAAAAUCUGAAAAGUAUAGACACUAAAUUCUUAAUUUUCAAAAAAAUAUUAUUAAUUUUGGGUUUAAACUCUAGAUAAAAAUAAAAACAUUAUAAUAUAAAAAAAUAUGAAUAUGAAUAUGAAAAUAAUUAUUAAACUUGACAUGCCACGCCACGUCUGCUUGUAUAUAUCUUUGGUAAUCAUUAGCAAUAUUUAGUUAGGCCUUUGAGUUCAACAGAUUUUUGAAUCAGAUCUAAGUAAGAAUAAUAACGGUAAUUUAAAAAAAAUUCGAAAUCAUAAAUUUUCAUUUUGAUGUACUUAUUUUCCUUUUCAACAAUUCAUGUAAGAAUAAAUUGAGGAAAAACCUAUGAAUCUAUCAGCUACAAUAAAAAGACCUUAUAAUAGUCAAUAUGUGGCCUCACCACCCAUCAAUGCAUGGUGUUUUUCGUCACUUUGGAUGGUGAAGAUAUUGUUGACUGUGAAUCAAUAUUAGGUUAUUUACACAGAAGAAUGAAAAAAAUUGCGGAAAACCAAACAAUUAUAUAAUAUUUGCCUUAUGUAACGCGUUGGGACUAUUCAGCCACUACGUUCACAAAAGCAAUAACCGUAAAUGGACCAGAACAAUUAGGGAAUAUUCAAGUCCCUAAAAGGGCCAACUAUAUCAGAGUAUUUAUGUUGGAGUUGAGUCGUAUAACUUCUCAUCAAUUACGGCUUGGACCUGUUAUGGUAGUUAUUGGUGCACAGACCCCCCCCAUUUUAUCUAUAGUUUCAGAGAAAGAGAAUUAGUAUAUGAUCUAUUUGAAGCUGCCACCGAUAUGAGAAUGAUGCAUAAUUAUUUUCGUACCGGAGGAGUGGCGACCUGUCUACCUUAUGGCUGAAUAGAUAAAUGUUUUGAUUUCUGUGAUUUUUUUUAAUAGGAAUUGUUGAAUAUCAAAAACUUAUUACGCGAAAUCCUACUUUUUAGAACGAGUUAAAGGGAUAGGCGUUAUUGGUGGAGAAGAAGCAAUAAAUUGGGGUUUAUCUGGCCCAAUGCUACGAGCAUCUAGAAUCAAAUGGGAUCUUCGGAAAGUUGAUCAUUAUGAGUGGGGCAAAUGAGGUUUGUCCCUUUUCACUAAAUGAGUAAACAAACGAUAGUGCAAUAUGUAGAAGAUGACCUAAACGUACAACCUAUACAUUACCUAAAACCACAAAUACAAAUCUCAAAACCUCAAAGGGCAAACUGAUAAACAAAACCCUAAAUCUCAUAAGGCACUCACAAAAGGGUAUAAAAUACUCUCCAUAAUUAACACAAAACUCAUAUGCGUUUACAUCUUGUCACCCCAAAAAAAAGCCAUUUUUUGCAUUUCAAAACAAGGAUACAAGGCCCUUUUAAAUAUGUUAAGAUUAGAGUUCUAAUCAUAUUAAAAUAUCCCUGGAAUAAUCAGAGUUUAACUAAGAAAAGAUAGCAUAGUUUAACUGGAAGAAGAAUACGAGGCACACCCCACAAAUCUCCAUCUUGACUAGUAUUUAUCACACCUUUUUUUUUCCAUUCCCCAUCAUGGGCCUAACUCUAAUUUUGGAGAAUGUCAACUAAGGCUAAAAUAUACUCAAACUUCUAAACUAAAAGACUUUUAGUCUUUAAAUCAAAAUUGUAUAAUGCAACAAGGGUCAGUAACACCCUCUACCUAACAGCAGCCCUUUGUGACUAACCUUGCCUGGAAACAUUCUGCAAACCAUUCAAGUCUUAAAGACCAAAAGGAGAUUAGAUUCUUUUCUAAAUCAGGCGCAUGUCUAACAUCUGACACGACCCCACCUUCAACCUAAUUAUGUGUGGAGAAUAACAAAUCAUCAAUAUUGUCCUUGGCCAUAUCAGCUACUUCUAUAAUUAUCUGAAACUGCUAGAAACUGAAAUUUGUCGUCUAUCAAACUUCUCGAUAUCCAAAAAUGUUGUUGUGCCACCGAGCAAGGCAAUCUGCAAAAGCUGAACAGUAGCUCUGAUGACAAUUUGUUGGAGAUUAACCCGUAUAAACAACGAGAUAAUAAAAGUGAAGAAAAACGAACGCAAAUAUUUUACAUGAAAAACCCUCAAAGAGGGAAAAUUCACGGGCAAAGGAGGUAUCACCUUUUCACUAAAUGAGUAAACAAACGAGAGUAAAAUAUGGAGAAGAUAACCUAAAUGCACAACCUGUACAUUACCCAAAACCCCGAAUAGAAAGCUCAAAAUCCCAAAGAGAAAAUCGGUAAACAAAACCCUAAAUCUCAUAAAACACUCAUAGAAAGUGUAUAAAAUAGUUUCCAUAAUUAUCACAAACCUCUCACCAAAACUCAUAUGCGGUUACGUCUUCUCGCCCCCAAAGAAAAGCCCAUUUUUUUUAUUGGUAUCUCAAAAUAAGGAUACAAAAUGCCUUUAAAGAGGCUAAAUUUAGAGUUCUAAUCAUAUUAAAAUAUGCAUGGAACAAUCAAAAUUUAACUGACAAAAGGUAACAAAUUUUAACUUGGAGAAGAAUACAAGACACACCCGAUGGCUACAUAAAUUUAUAUUUAUUAAUCAAUAGUUUUUAUAAUUAUAUAGAUAUACUAAAUAUGUAUACUAAAAUUUAUAUAAUUUUCUUUUAAAAAUAUAUUUCAAAUUAUUUAGUAAUAUAAUAAAGAAGGGUUAUUGAAUACAGAUGCAAACAAUACAAUCCAACAAAAAAAAAAUGAAAAUUCAAUAAACAAUAAAAAGUAAAGAGUGGUCAAACAUUGUUGAAGAACUAUAUCUAAGGGCUACAAAUGUAUUGAGUAGCAACGUUUCUUCCACACUUAUUGAGUAAGAGGCUCAAUUAAAUAGGAAGGUUGAUGUUAAUGCCUAACGCAUUAACUCUAACGGCAGUGCAAAGGCAAAUUGCAGCUUCAAGAUCAACAAAUCCUUCAAUCAAGCUGCGACAUGAUUUUGUAGGUACGUUUCUGAGAUUAACAUCCACCAAACUCAACAGCUUAAAACACAUCGAGAUUUAGGGGAUUGCAUGUAUUGAACCGUCCUUGGUUAUUUGAGUACACAUCUCGAGGAUGAAUAAAAACAGUGUUUUUAGAAUCUUUUGAAUCAUUAUUGAUAUUAUAAGAGCUGACUAAAGCAAAGAAGAGAAGGCCAUUUUUCAAAAGGAAUUUGUUUGAAGUGGUUGAGAGAAAGCCAAAAGUUGUGACGAAGUGAGGAAAGGGUUUAUAUAGAAAAAAGGGAUGAACAUAAAAACUAAGUAACUGAGAGGCACUAAGUGAAAUUAAUUGGGAUACAGAAAUAUUUGAUUGCUGGCAAAGACUGGAAUUUCCCCUCUGUAUGAUGGUUAUUCGAAUCCAAUAGGCCAAUUUUUAAAUAAUAACAUGAGCACAACGUUGUCACUAUCAUAACUACAAUUAAUUUAGCACUUUGCAAAUAUCAUGUCACCAGCACACACCAAAAGACAGUACAUAUUGCAAAUUUGUACCUUUGGGUAUCUUUAAUAUUAAUUAAAGAUUAAAAAAAAAACUCUAAUAAUUAGGCUCACACGCUGCUAAAAUUCAAUUAACUCAGAAAGGUUUAAGUCGUUAAAUCAAUAGGAGUUGAGUUAAAUUUGAGUUUUCUUUACUUGAAACGAGAAUUUAUUUUAAAUGUAAAAUGCCUUUCUGAUUAUUUUAAAUAAAUUAUUUUUAAUAUAAAUGCGUUGCAUGUGAUUUUAUACUUUUAAUUUUUAAUUAAUUAAUUUUUGAAUAACGUAUUUUUAAUUAUUAUUACCUAUCAUUGAUAAUGAUGAUUUAUCUUAAUUUUUAAAUAAUAUAUCAAUUUGAAACUAUAUAAAAAAAUAAAUUAUAAUAUUCACUUUUCCCAAACUCCCUUUUCCAUCCAAAAAAAUGCUCCCCUGAUUUCCAAUAAGUCAUUUACUUUUCAAAACAUUUUUACUCGGACGUUUGAUUCCCAGGGAGAAAAACACUAUCUUCCUCACAAAGCUUCAGUUGGGUUCUCUGAUCCAUUCGUCUUCCAGCGUUUUAAUUGCAUGACUUGGUACUGCACCAUCCAGGUAAAACCCUUUCCUUUUCUUCAAAUUCUCAGUGGCUAUAAUAUGUACCAAAGCGUUUGCUGUGCGAUGGACAUGCUGAAAUUUUAUAGAUUUGAACUCGCUUAGUAGAGUCUUAAUGUUGUGGAUAAUGGAACAUAUUUCUGAUUUAUCUCUGGAUUUUUAAGUUUAUUUCUUGCUUCACACAACAUUAAAAAUUGUACCCACAUUUUCUAAAGAUAUUAUUUUAUUCUAAUUUUUUUCAAAACAUAUUCGCUGUGCCAAAUUUAAUUUAUAUCAAGAAAAAGAUCAAAUUCGUAUAAAUUAUUAUAAGGAAAUACUAUAAUUUAUAACCUCCAUUAAUUAUCUCAUAGCAUUAUAAUUGAUUGGGAUUUUCAUAGACAUCUUAUUUUAUUACUUAGAAAAUGCAUCCUUAUUACAAAAAUAAAUUAAGACAAGAAGUAAAGAAAUUAUUACAAGAGCUGAAAGGGGAAGGUUGAAGAGCCUUUCCUUUAUGAAAAAACAACAAUUCGAGAACUGCUAUGAAAUGAAUCAAAGAUAGAGAAUCUAACAAACAAUCGAUAAAAGAAUAAUCAAAGAAAAUUUUCUAAAACGACAAUAUUUAUGGAGCGCAAAUGUAUUCAGUAGCCACCCUUCUUCCACAGUUAUUGAGUAAGAGACUCAAUGAGAUAGGAAGGUUGAGUUUAAUGUCUAACACAUUAGCUCGGACAGCAGUGCAAAGGCAAACCGCAGCUUCAAGAUCAGCCAACCCAUGGAUCAAACUGCAGCAUGGUUGGGUUGGUACGUUGCCGAGGUUGAGAUUCACCAAACCACCCAACAGAUUAACACACACACCAAGGUUCAAUGGAUUACAAGUACCAUAAUAGCUUUGAGCGCUACCAUCGUUGGGAAACUUGUAUCCGGGACGGAUAACAACAGGGUUCCGAGAUUUUGUGGGGUAAGAAGAACCAUUAGGAUUAUUAUCAACAUUGUAAGAGCUUACUAAAGCAAAAAAGAAAAGGUUAACAGAGAAGAAAAGAGCAGUUGAUAACUUAACCUUUGAAGCCAUUUUUCCAAUAGAGAAUAAUUUGAUUUCACUGAGAAAAUGGACUGCUUCCUACGAUGAAGGUGAUGAAGUGAUCAAAGGGUUUUUAUAGAACACAAAGAUGAGGUUUGAAACUAGAAAAUGAAAGCCACUAAGUCAUAUCAUUUGGAGAAUUUGGAUAUUUUAAGAUAUGUUUUCGUUGGCUUUGAUUAAGAAAUCUCCCAGAUCUAUGAAUGAGUUGUUAUUAUAAUUAUAUAUCGUAAUCCCAAGUAUGGGACCAAGCCGCAAUUUUAAAUUUUAAUUAUGAAUCAUAAUUUAUAUAUUUACACUAGUACAACCUUGCUAUGAUUACUUGCAAAUAAAAAUGUUCAUGAACCAGGUUAUUCAUUCAAACUCGAAGGUGCACCUAAAAUUUUGAGAGGAUUUAGACAAAAGUAUUAGGUUCGAAAUUGAGAUUGGAUGAAAAAUUGGUUCAUUUAAAAUAUGAACCGAGUUUGGACAAGAGCUACAUGGGCUACCACACAACCAUGUGACAGGCCGUGUCGAUUUCGCGAAUUGCACUCCGAACAGUGGAAAAACGUGAUUUUUAGGGUUUUUCGAGCAUUCUGAGAACUAUAUAUGACAAAAAUAAGAAGAUAGUUGUGAGCCGUCAUAGAAUAUUCAAGAAAACAACUCGAAAAACAACAUUGAAGCUGAUUCUAAAGUAAUUUUCCGUCAAGAUUGAAGAUUCCUAGUUGAUUUCUUAAGAGAUUAUCAUGAGUUUCUUUAUUUCUUUUGGUUAUACUGUCUCUGGGAUAUUUUUAUUUUCAAGCAUGAACUAAUUUUCUAAAUACCUAGGGGGAGAUGAACCCCAUGAUGAAUUCUAUCGUUUGAUUUUUAUUUUAAGCAAUAAAUACUUGGAUCUUGUUAUUAAUUAUGUGUGAUUGAUUCUUGGUUUGAUAUUUCUAAAUUAUUGAUCCAUAUUUGAUGUACUUAAAUCAGAGGAGGAAUAGACACUGCUUAACAGUAGAUCUUGAGUAAUUUAGUAGAAUUGCAUGCAAUCCUAAAAAUAGGACGACAUAAAUCUAUCGAAUUAGAGUCAAAUCUAAUAGGGGACUCCAUAAAUCGAGUUAAUGCGAUAGUAGGGGUUUUAAUUAGAAAGAAAUUUCAAUUAAUCAACCUAGAGUCAGUUGCUCUACUCUCGAAAGAGUUAUUAGCAUAGUUUAGGGAUGUUGUAAUACCUUGAUUAAUUUAAGCCUGUUUUUGUGAAAUUUAACAAUUAUGUAUAUGUUUCAGUGGUUAAGUGUUUUGGGUGUGUGUAUGAGGUCUUGGGUUCAAGUCUCACAUCUAAUAAUUUUGCUAUUUUAGAUCCAAACCUUACCCUUGUUGAGUGGGCUUAUAUAAAACUGUCUGUUAAUCUAUAUUAGAAUAAGCUUGCUGGUUUGAGUGGUAAGGGGUUGUUGUGUUGGAGUUCUUGUGUUUGAAUCCUUGUGUGAACAUGGAUGUUAAAAUUUUUGCUCGGUUGUUUGGUCGAGUUUCGGCAUAGCUAAAAUUCUGAGGUAGUUGAGAUUGAGUGUUGGUGGGGAGUUGGGAUUGUAAUCAAUUUGUUAAUUUUAUUUCCUGUUUUUCAAUUUUUCUUCCUAUUCUUUACCAUUUUCAUCUUCCUCUUCCUUUCCGAUGAUUUUGUUUUUCAUCUUUUUAUCUGCUGUCGUAAUUUCGCAUCUCGAUAUUUUGGUGUUCUUUGUGCAUUUUUGGUAAGUGUGGUUAUGUUUUGGUUAGUGAAUCAUUGGUUGAUAGGGUUCGUUAUUGUUGCUUAGGAGAAGAUCAAGGGGCUGGGGGCUUCCAAUUGGUGCUAUAGUUGUACGAAAUCACCAUUGCCCAUUCGAAGGUAAAGGUUUUGAUUCAAUAAAGGAUUGUCUAUUUCAAUGUAGUUACGGUUUAGUUUCAAUUUAAGCGACUAAUUCGGCAAUUUAUUGGUCAAUUUUAGGUGUUGUGUGGCUCGGGAGUGUUUUCGCAUAAAAAACGAUCCAGGUGUGUUCCCAAAACGCAGAAAAUUGGGUUUCGGCAAAAGCCAAAAAAGUGUUCUGUCGAUGCCACACGGUUGUGUGCCUGGCCGUGUUGUAGGCUGUGUUCAAGACACGGUCGUGUGUCUGACGAAGGUGCGGCCGUGCUCAAGACACGACCGUGCGAUGGUUGAGUGUGGCCGUGUGGGCCACACGGGCUAGGCCAUAUUGGGCGUAUGAGCCUACACGGGCAUGUGGGUUUUGGGCCAGGCCUUGUGGACCACGCGGGCAAGGCCAAUCUGGGCGUGUGGGCCGCACAGCAUGUAGGCCCAAAAUUCUAAAAUUUUCCCUAAGAUUGCACGGGUCGUUCCAAUUGACUGUGGACCUACCGUAGAGUCGCUAAAGGCUAACCAAACUCUAAAUUAUGUGAUCUGAUAUUCUGGUAGUAUGCUUUGAGUAGGACACCGUUAUGCAUGUCUGAUUAUUCUGUUAUAUAUAUGUAUAUGUUAUCUGUACGCAAGCAUGUUAAGCAUGAUAUUUCUGUAUCUGGAUAUUGUAUUUAUGACCGGGGUGAGAAUCGUAUAUGUGGAGGAAGUAAUCUGUACAGCGACCUGUCACCUAUAUUCUGGCAGCUUGGCUGCAUAUUAUUUGUUCUGUGUUGCAUGUGUAAGGUCUUUCUUGUCACAUUCAGGUGGGCAAGGACCUAUUUUGAGCCAAAAACAGAGAUUUAACCAGACAAAGGUUGCUUUUAUCUAUCGGCUUUUCCAGUUUUUUGAAAAUCAUCAAAUUUCGUCUAAAAAGCCACAGCCUUCCUGCCAGUAUUAAUUCCAGAUCCUCCUCUUCUUCAAAUUCAAUCAUGAACAAGUUUUGACCAGAAAUUUUGAUCUCAAAUUUCUUUUUUGUUUUCCAGAUACUCUUCAAUUGGGCUCGAAACCUAUCUGGAUUGUAGGUUUUCAUUGUCCAUACAAUCCCUAAAAGAGUCAGCUUUCCAUUGGGGACCACCAGGGAGCUUUUGACAGUCAAAUGUACCGAUUCUUCUUCCAGGAGAGAGAUAUCAUCCCUCGCCAUAGCUAUCUUUGUCACCGCCCUACUCAAGACCCAACCACAGCAGACUUAUUUCUUUGGGAGACUAUGAGAGAGCACUCUUGACUUUUUUUUUGCUACAUAAAAGAAAUUCUUAAAACAUGAAAGAAUUGUUUAAAUUUUGAAAAAAAUUCACUUUUUUAAAGAUAUUAUUUUAUUCCAAUUUUUUUCAAAACAUAUUAGCUGUGCCAAUUUUAAUUUAUAUCAAGAAAAAGAUCAAAUUUGUAUAAAUUGUUAUAAGAAAAUACUAUAAUUUAUAAUCUCCAUUAAUUAUCUCAUAGCAUUACAAUUGAUUGGGAUUUUCAUAGACAUCUUAAUUUAUUACUUGGAAAAUGCAUCCUUAUUACACAAAUAAAUUAAGACAAGUAAAGAAAUUAUUACAGGAGAUGAAAGAAAUUAUUACAGGAGAUGAAAGAAAUUAUUACAGGAGAUGAAAGGGAAAGGUUGAAGAGUCUUUCCUUUAUGAAAAAACAACAAUUCGAGAACUGCUAUGAAAUGAAUCAAAGAGAGAAUCCAUCAAACAAUCGAUAAAAGAAUAAUCAAAGACAAUUUUCUAAAACGACAAUAUUUAUGGAGCGCAAAUGUAUUCAGUAGCCACCCUUCUUCCACAAUUAUUGAGUAAGAGACUCAAUGAAAUAGGAAGGUUGAGUUUAAUGUCCAAGACAUUAGCUCGGACAGCAGUGCAAAGGCAAACCGCAGCUUCAAGAUCAGCCAACCCAUGGAUCAAACUGCAGCAUGGUUGGGUUGGUACGUUGCCGAGGUCGAGAUUCACCAAACCACCCAACAGAUUAACACACACACCCAAGGUUCAAUGGAUUACAAGUACCAUAAUAACUUUGAGCGCUACCAUCGUUGGGAAACUUGUAUCCGGGACGGAUAACAACAGGGUUCCGAGAUUUUGUGGGGUAAGAAGAACCAUUAGGAUUAUUAUCAACAUUGUAAGAGCUUACUAAAGCAAAAAAGAAAAGGUUAAGAGAGAAGAAAAGAGCAGUCGAUGACUUAACCUUUGAAGCCAUUUUUCCAAUAGAGAAUAAUUUGAUUUCACUGAGAAAAUGGAC